AAACCAGCACCUCAAGUGGUCAGGAGGAUUAUUGGGCCUAAAGCAUCCGUAGCCUGUUCUGUAAGUUUUCGGUUAAAUCUGUAUGCUCAACAUACAGGCUGCCGGGAAUACUGCAGAGCUAGGGAGUGGGAGAGGUAGACGGUACUCGGGAGGAAGUGGUAAAAUGCUUUGAUCUCUCGAUGACCACCUGUGGCGAAGGCGGUCUACCAGAACACGUCCGACGGUGAGGGAUGAAAGCUGGGGGAGCAAACCGGAUUAGAAACCCUAGUAGUCC
rnacentral:rRNA from 1 species